GACGAACGCUGGCGGCGUGCUUAACACAUGCAAGUCGAACGGUAAGGCCCUUCGGGGUACACGAGUGGCGAACGGGUGAGUAACACGUGGGUGAUCUGCCCUGCACUUCGGGAUAAGCCUGGGAAACUGGGUCUAAUACCGGAUAGGACCCUGGGAUGCAUGUCCUGGGGUGGAAAGCUUUUGCGGUGUGGGAUGGGCCCGCGGCCUAUCAGCUUGUUGGUGGGGUGAUGGCCUACCAAGGCGACGACGGGUAGCCGGCCUGAGAGGGUGACCGGCCACACUGGGACUGAGAGACGGCCCAGACUCCUACGGGAGGCAGCAGUGGGGAAGAUUGCACAAUGGGCGCAAGCCUGAUGCAGCGACGCCGCGUGAGGGAUGACGGCCUUCGGGUUGUAAACCUCUUUCAGCACCGACGAAGCGCAAGUGACGGUAGGUGCAGAAGAAGGACCGGCCAACUACGUGCCAGCCGCCGCAGUAA
rnacentral:rRNA from 1 species